rnacentral:rRNA from 1 species
UAGGGAAUAUUGGGCAAUGGACGGAAGUCUGACCCAGCCAUGCCGCGUGCAGGAAGAAGGCGCUCAGCGUUGUAAACUGCUUUUAUCGGGGAAGAACGGCAGUCCUGCGGGAUUGUGUGACGGUACUCGAGGAAUAAGCACCGGCUAACUCCGUGCCAGCAGCCGCGGUAAUACGGAGGGUGCGAGCGUUGUCCGGAUUUAUUGGGUUUAAAGGGUGCGUAGGUGGUUGAGUAAGUCUGGUUUGAAAGUCAGUCGCUUAACGAUUGAGGGUGGCUGGAUACUGCUGAACUUGAAUGCCCUGGAGGUAGGUGGAACGGGUUGUGUAGCGGUGAAAUGCAUAGAUAUUACAUGGAAUACCAAUUGCGAAGGCAGGUUACUACUUGUGGAUUGACGCUGAUGGACGAAAGCGUGGGGAGCGAACA